CCUACGGGGGGCAGCAGUGGGGAAUAUUGGGCAAUGGGCGCAAGCCUGACCCAGCAACGCCGCGUGAAGGAAGAAGGCCCUCGGGUUGUAAACUUCUUUUAUUCGGGACGAAACAAAUGACGGUACCGAAUGAAUAAGCCACGGCUAACUACGUGCCAGCAGCCGCGGUAAUACGUAGGUGGCAAGCGUUAUCCGGAUUUACUGGGUGUAAAGGGCGUGUAGGCGGGAGAGCAAGUCAGACGUGAAAUUCCAGGGCUCAACCUCGGCACUACUACCAAAACUGUCGGACUUGAGUGCAGGAGGGGCAAAUGGAAUUCCUAGUGUAGCGGUGGAAUGCGUAGAUAUUAGGAGGAACACCAGUGGCGAAGGCGAUUUGCUGGACUGUAACUGACACUGAGGCACGAAAGCGUGGGGAGCAAACAGGAUUAGAUACCCUUGUAGUC
rnacentral:rRNA from 1 species